rnacentral:rRNA from 1 species
GGGGGGAGUUGUUUCGGAUUACUGGGCGUAAGAGCGCGUAGGUGGUUCGAUAAGUCGGAGGUGAAAUCCCUCGGCUCAACCGAGGACCCGCGUCCGAUACUGUCGAACUUGAGUGCAGGAGAGGAGAGCGGAAUUCCGAGUGUAGCGGUGAAAUGCGUAGAUAUUCGGAGGAACACCGGUGGCGAAGGCGGCUCUCUGGACUGCUACUGACACUGAGGCGCGAAAGCUAGGGGAGCAAACGGGAUUAGAUACCCCGGUAGUCCUAGCCGUAAACGAUGGGCACUAGGUGUGGGAGGUAUCGACCCCUUCCGUGCCGCAGCUAACGCAUUAAGUGCCCCGCCUGGGGAGUACGGCCGCAAGGUUGAAACUCAAAGGAAUUGACGGGGGCCCGCACAAGCGGUGGAGCAUGUGGUUUAAUUCGACGCAACGCGAAGAACCUUACCAGGGCUUGACAUCCCGCGAACUCCUCCGAAAGGAGGAGGUGCCCGCAAGGGAGCGCGGAGACAGGUGGUGCAUGGCUGUCGUCAGCUCGUGUCGUGAGAUGUUGGGUUAAGUCCCGCAACGAGCGCAACCCUCGUUCUAUGUUGCCAGCACGUGAUGGUGGGGACUCAUAGGAGACUGCCGGGGUCAACUCGGAGGAAGGUGGGGAUGACGUCAAAUCAUCAUGCCCCUUAUGUCUUGGGCUUCACGCAUGCUACAAUGGCCAGUACAAAGGGCUGCGAUACCGCGAGGUGGAGCGAAUCCCAAAAAACUGGUCUCAGUUCGGAUUGGGGUCUGCAACUCGACCCCAUGAAGUCGGAGUCGCUAGUAAUCGCAGAUCAGCAACGCUGCGGUGAAUACGUUCCCGGGCCUUGUACACACCGCCCGUCAAGUCACGAAAGUCGGUAACACCCGAAGCCGGUGGCCCAACCCCUUGUGGGAGGGAGCUGUCGAAAGUGGGACUGGCGAUUGGGACUAAGUCGUAACAAGGUAACC